rnacentral:rRNA from 1 species
UUUGGGGGUGUAAUGCCUUCGGUCGAUUCUCAAACUUUAAAUACGCAAGAAAGAGAUGGUUGCUUAAUUGAACCUCUCUUCUGAAAACGUCGGCCCUGUGGGCCACUUUUGGUAAGCAGAACUGGCGAUAUGGGAUGAACCAUAAGUUUGGUUAAGGCGUCAAAAUCCCGGCUUAAAGAUCCCACAAAAGGUGUUGGUUCAUAUAGACAGCAGGACGGUGGCCAUGGAAGUCGGAAUCCGCUAAGGAGUGUGUAACAACUCACCUGCCGAAUGAACUAGCCCUGAAAAUGGAUGACGCUUAAGCCGGGUGCCGACACCAGACCGUUUUGGUAAGAAGCGACCAAAAUGAGUAGGAGGGCGUGGCGAUUUUGUUUAGAAGGGUCAGACGCAAGUCUACCUGAAACGGUCGCUAGUGCAGAUCUUGGUGGUAGUAGCAAAUAUUUAAGCGAGAUCCUUAAAGGUCGAAGCGGGGAAGGGUUCCACGCGAACAUUGAUUGGGCGUGGGUGAGUCGUUCCUAAGCCGGGUGGUAAUCGUUCUUACGAUCGGCGAAAGGGAAGUUGGUUAAAAUUCCAACACACGGAUGUGGAGGCGGUGACGCAAAUUGAGGUGGAGACGUUAGCGGUGACACUGGGCAGAGUUUUCUUUUCUGUUUAACCUGUGCUGCACUCUGUGGAAUCCGAUUAUCGGGAGAAACAGGUGCUUAUGGGAAGAGCGUCGGGGGGUCCCCGGCGUCCAGUACGUCACCGAUAACCCUUGAAAAUCCAUCUGCAAUAUAAUUUCACGCCGUGGCGUACCGAUAACCGCAGCAGGUCCCCAAGGUGAACAGCCUCUGAUCAAUAUGAACAAUGCAGGUAAGGGAAGUCGGCAAAAUAGACCCGUAACUUUGGGAAAAGGGUUGGCUCUAGUGGGGCGAAGGAAAAACCUGGGCUAUAGUGAUUUGGUGCGGGCGGACUGUCGGAGUUAAA